GCCGAGAGCAGGGGCCCCAAAGCCCUUGCCUCUCGAAUCACAUCUGUUGGCUUCAUGCUAGGCCUGCACACAGCAGCACCUUCUAAAAAACAGUGUCCUAAAAGAAUAAUGACAGGGAAAAAUAACCAAGAGCUAUCGAGUGAAGAUAGCAGAGAAGCAAAACAUUAUGACCUUGUGUUUACUUUAGACCAAUAAGGAACGAAUUUGGGCCGAGGAAAAAACUGGAAAAACUAACAGGGACUAUCUUUAGAAAUUUAUCAUUCGGCAAAUAUUUAUUGAGCAGCUACUAUUUGUUGGACUCUUCUAGGUGCUGGGUCAUAACAGCCAACCGAUGAAGCCCUUAGGGAUAUAACAUUCAUGAGAGGCAACGGAGUCACGAAGUCCCUGAGGCCCAAAUGCAGAUCCCACCUUCUACUCAGGUGUCUUCUUCGGCUCCUCUCGGCGGUGACGGUUUCUCGGACUUCCCUGGCUUGGGGUGACCUUGAGAGUUUUGAGGGGUACUGGUCAGGUACUGCGUAUUGGAAUUUGCCUCACGUUUUUCUCAUGAUCCAAUGGGACCAUGGGUUUCAAGAGCACAGAGGUCUGUUUUGCCCACCAGUGUAUCCCCAGUUCCUGGAACAACCCCCAGACAGAAUGAAAAAGAAAAACUUACUUUGACAAGUCAUUCUUAUUAAAACAUUGAUGAAAAAGCAACACUUCCUGUAUCUUCCAAAGUGGAACAGAUGCACACCCCGGGCCCCGCAAGGCCUCUCGCAGAUGAGGAAACCGAGGCGCAGAGAGGCAAAGGGAUGUGUCGAAAGCCACACAGCUGGAGCAAGUGGUGGAACUGGCCUGGGAACAUGGGUUGGUGUGUUUUCCCUCCACCCCACAGCGACAUGGUGGGGGUGGGGGUGGGGGUGGGGAGUUGGCAGAGGCAGCCCUUUAAAAACUGCAGUAGGGCCACCACAAGUAAACAGAAGCCUUGACAGCUGUCGGGCCCUCUCUCCAAGCACAAGGCGGAGGCUGGCCCUGUUUCCAGCAGAAGGCCUUGGUCCGGCCGGCUGCCUUGACUCAGAGGACUCAGGCUCGCGUUGCUCCUUUGUGGGCUGGAGGGGCCCCGAGAUCACAGACCCCGGAGUGGGUGUGAGCACCGUCUCUGCACCCAGAAGCUGAGAUCAGCUUUUGGGCUGCUCUUUCUUCAGUCAUUUACUGGUUUCCCAUGAUUAUAAUAACUACCCCUGCUGAGCUUUAUAGUUCACAAAGUACUUUCACAAACACUCUUUCAUUUACUCCUCACAUCAGCCCUGUGAUGAGGAGUUAAUAUGACCAUUUUAUGGAAACAGAAACUGGAGUUCAGGGAGGGAGGUUCCGGGAAUGGCCUCAGAUCAGAAGGCCAGCAGUGGCCCUCACGCCAGCAUUCCCGAGCCCCGGGCCAGACCCGGCUCCUUCCUUCCACGGGGCAGCCUUCUCAGAGGAGUGCGGUGGCUUCUGGAGGGGCCGGCCUAUCUCAGUCUGCCAGCAGUGACCAGACAAUCUGCUCUCAUCAUCUGGGAGCUGGGUGAAGACCCCUCCCCACCCUCACCUCCUGCAAAUAUUGUGUGUUGGGGGUGGGGGGGACACAAAGAAGUAGAAGUGACUGCUGAGUGAGGGAGCUGGAGAGAGUACUGGGGAGGGGUCCCCCGCUGCCUUGGCCUUGGGCCCCGCAGAUGCAUGGAAGGGACCAGCAGUUCCUGGAACACGAGCCCAUCGCCGGGGUGCCCAGUGCCAGCUGUUGCCAUCUGCUUGUGGCAAAACGAGAAAAAUAGGACAAUACAGUGAAGUUUUCCUAAAGCUAGACCUACUCGAUCUGAAGUACGGCCCUUUCCCUGGAGCUGUGUAUUUUCAGGGUCUGUGCAUGUGUGUGUUUAAAAAGGACCUUUUCUUUGACAUUUUCUUUAAUGUCCUUAACCGAGCAAAAUAAAAGACUAGUGACCAUGUCAGAUCCUAAAUCGGCUUUUUGGAAAUGUUAGUGACUAAGGAAUCCGAAUGCCUGGGAAUCACGGAGCUGGCCCUGAUUCGGUGAGCCCUGGCACGGAGGACUUGUUUUUGAAUUCAGGGAUGAUCUCUGAACAGCUGGAAAAACCCCGGGGGAGGAGAGGUUGGGGUUCCUGCCUGGACUCAGCCCCUCAGCCCUGGAUCCCCAGGAAACCUGAGCAGAGGGAACAUUAGAGUCACUGCACAGGGAAUUCUGAGAAAGGCCUCGGGCUGAUUCUCCGUGCUGCACCCCCUCAGCCUCUUCUCUGACCCCCAGCCAGAGGGAAUGUACCCUCCAACCUCAGCCCUGCCUCCCCCAGCCCCCCAAGGCUGGAUCCAAAAUAGCCCAGGCCCCGGAGGAGACGUCAUGGGUCAGACUGGCUGCCUGCCCUCAGAGAGGGCAUGUCGGUAAUGCCCAAGGCCAAAUAUAGAGGGACACCAGACACCGCUGGGCCACCCAGGGCCUGGGGAGCCCGGCUGGCAUCUCAGGGCCUCCCCCACCCUCAUCCCUUCCCAGCCCUGCACCCCCAACCCGGGCUCCGGAGGCCAGCGCCUCCUGGCCAGGCCCACCCAGCCAGGACAUGUCCCAGCAAGCCCAGAGCCGAGCUGGAGGCUGGCCCGACGGGGUGCUGGGCCUGGGCUGGGCCUGGGCGUGGGGACACCCCUCCAUCUGGGGGUCUCAAAGCACUUUUAUAAGCGUCACUUCCCACAGGCUGCUGCCGAGAUCAGGAGGCCAAGAGGACCUGGUGUCUCCGGGGGGCCGGCUCCUGCCUCUGUUCCUCCCAGCUCGGGAAGGAGACCAGGCCGUAAACCUGCGGCGUGGGAGGCUUGGGAGGCGGGGGGCGGGCAGGCGGCCAGGUCUAACCCGAGUGAACUCCCGGUGGAAUCGAACUGCAAAUAAUGAGUCCUGAUUGCCGAGGUGGCCUCCACCCGCCACUCCCGGGAAUUAAAAGUCAAAGGGCAGAGCUGCUGACGCAAAUGUCAAGGGAGACACGCGGUGUGGAACAGCUGGGAUCCUGCUCCCCGGCCUGCCGCCCAAGGUCGCCGCCCCCAGCGCCCUGGAUCCGGCGUCCCCCAGGCUGGGCCCCGAGAGGCCCCAGUUCCCCAGGCGCAGCAGGGAAGGGGGCUCGGCUUCCUCUCCCUCCUCCUGGUUCUAAGGUCAACAGAACUCGAUUGGAGGAGGUUCAUCAGAAAUCCCCGUGCAACGGCGUUGCCGGACGCCUGCGGACGCGGAGAGGCAGCAGCUCGAGUCCUCUGGGCCUUCCCCGCCUCCCCCGCCAACAAGGGGGAGGAAACUUCUGCCGACGGGGGCGCGUGGCUCGCUAACACCUGCUGUGUCCCCUAGGUCGUCCCAGGGCCGGCACACCGUGGGCAGCUGCACCGUGGUCUGUGCACCAGUGGUGACCCCCAGCGGUCAGUGUGGGACUUGACCUUGGACCCAGCACUGAAGCCUCCGCCAGGCCAGGGGCUGGGAAACCCCGGGGGCGCCAGGUUUGGAGAUUUGAUCUUGGAAGGGAGGUGUUGGCGUUCGGAGGUGUUGGCGUUCGGAGGUGUUUUUCUCUGUGCUGAAUUUUCCUAAUCGCCCUGUGGCUGGAUCUCAGCCUGUGUCCCACUGUGAGCCAGUCAGCCUCAACAUGUCUAAGAGGCGCAUCAUCACUGAGCCCCUACCGGCUCUUACUCCUGACUUCCCUAUUUCUAUUAAUAGCACCACUACCCUCCCAGUCCCUCAGGCUCCAAACCUCCGUGUCAUUGUCCACAUCUCCCCACACUGGGCUGGCUGACCGGUCCUGCCCCUCCUCACCGUGCAGGUCAUUCUUCCACCCCUCCCGCGAUACUCAUGGCCACUGCCCCAGUCAAUGGACCUCUCUCUCACCUGAGCUACUGUCAUCCUCGACAAUGCCACUGGGUCAGACCUGGCUAUGUGACCGGUCCCUUCCACUUACUGGCUGUGUGACCUUGGGCAAGCUACUUAACUUCUCUGAGCUCAACUUCCUCAGCUGUAAAAUGAGGAUAAUAAUUACAGUCCCUACCUCAUAGAGCACUGCAUGAAUUGUGACGUAUGUGAAGACCCUGACACAUAGGAAAUGCUCAGUGACUGUGAAUUAUUAGAGAUCAUCCAUCCAAUCCAACUCUUCCAUUUUACAAACAAGGAAACUGAGGCUCAGAGAGCUGGAAGGAGAGCUAACGUCUGGCAUGGUGUCUUUACAACUUGCUACAGGGGUCCAGCCGGGUGGCACAGUGGUUAAGUUCACACGUUCUGCUUCGGUGGCCUGGGGUUUGCCGGUUCGGAUCCUGGGUGUGGGCCUACACACCAUACUGUGGUAGGCAUCCCACAUAUAAAGUAGAGGAAGAUGGGCAUGGAUGUUAGCUCAGGGCCAGUCUUCCUCAGCAAAAUGAGGCGGAUUGGUGGCAGAUGUUAGCCAGGGCUAAUCUUCCUCAAAAAUAGAAUAAAAUAAAAAUAAAACUUGCUACAGAGCAGGGGGAGUGGAAGUUCCCGGAGUCUUGAAGCUCCUCCACCACUGCCCACAUCAUCGCGAUCUGGAACCCAGAUCCAAAGGCCCCCUGCUGAGUUCACGGGGCACACCCUCCUGCCUUCAGGGGCAGGCAUGCUUGGGUGAGUGCUGAGGUCGCAAAUACCUUCUGGGAUGAGACAACUACAGGUGACGUCCAGCGGCUGUGAGUCAGGGAGACCCAUCUGCAAGGUGACGAGUGAGGCUGGGCACUCGGGCCGCAGGGGUGCUGGGCAUGCAGGGGUCGUGCCAGACGUCAGACAUCCAAAUAGGGUGGGCACCUCCUCCCGCAACAACCCCGCCCUCACACUCCUCCCCCAGCUCCCACUCACCCCCUCCAGUGCCCAGGCCUUCGCGUGGGGGUCCGUGGGGGCAGGGCAGGCUGCCUCCCGUCCAGAUAGUCCAGGCGGACGUUCUGAACAGUCCCUCGUGAAUGAGCACCUGGGGGCCAUACGCUCUUUGAAACUGAAGGUGGGAGCCCUGUUCUGGGGACAGGUUCUCAAAGCGGACUUCUCUCCACAAAGAGAAGAUGAUCAAGAGCAGCAAGAGCAGAUGAUCCAGGUUCAAACGUGGGCCUGUCCUAGAGUCCUAGGACACCU
rnacentral:lncRNA from 1 species